CCGGCCCGUUCCAUCACCGCCGCCUCCGGAUCCGCCUCCGCCGCCGCCGUCGCCACUGCCGCCGCCGCCGCCUGCAGUCUCCACCGGAGCUACCCCUGUAUUGAUCUAAGGGGAAGUAGGAGAGUGGAGGGGAUCUUGGUUCGGGGAGCGGAGACGAGGCUUCUACGUGGGUCGGCAACUUGGGCACAAACUUCAAGGACUCCCAUCGCCGGCGUCGCCGUCCGAGCUCGAGCUCACCGGCUACGGCUGCGAUCGAGGACCACUUCCCUGAGCAGGAUACCGCCGCGCGCGCCCACGCGUUGCUGAAUUUAAUGGUUUGUUUCAGUUGUCAAGGAUUAUAUAUGCAGCAACUAUAGAAAUGAUCUUACCGGACCAAGAUAUUUUAUGCAUUGCUUCUUCAGCUGAGCUCUUGGACACUCAGGAAGGUCAACAUCUUUUCCCUCCCCAAUAUCAAGCCUACAUUUGCAAAAAGAACAUUACUGAAAUCACUGCACAAUCAAACCACUCACUGAAAUUUAUGUGAUUCAGUGCAACACUGAACUUAAUGCAUUCUAUUUGCAAAUUAAUCUCUUUUUGUCAGACACAUCCAACCAGUUUAAUUAUUCCAAUGACAUGGAGUAGUUUGCAAAUGCAAGCACACAAAUCACAGUCAACUUCUCACCAGUAGAAAAAAGGCUGGCCGGCCUGGCUUUGGCACCAGACAUCAUAGUAGCACUGCAGAUUGUGACCAUAUCUAUGCCGUGGGUCAAUCUAUACAACGAAUGAUAAUUGCUGUCAUAAUUGCAUAUGUGCAUCAAAA
rnacentral:lncRNA from 1 species